rnacentral:lncRNA from 1 species
GAUCAGUUCCAAAGGCCUUGAUGAGGGUGUCGAUCUUUGAGAGUAUGGCAUUGACAUUCCUGAAACGUUAAAUUCUGCAUCAAAAUCUCAUUUGAGUUCUAGUAUCUGUACUAGGCUACUAGCACAAAGAUAGGAGUUGUUGGACGAAUUCCCAUUUUUGGUUGUGCCCUCUCAUUACUGCUCCUCUGGUUUUGCCUACUAAGCUGAUAUUUUAAAUAAAUUUUGAUAUUGUUCACCGUUCCCCCAUAAACAUUAAGCUUUUACUGUCAUCGUCGUGUUGUUGAUGUGAUAGCUAUCAGUAUGAUUAAUUGACUGUAAAAGGUAAGUAUAUGGUGCUAUCUUAAAACAAAUUGAUAGUUACGUGCUGAGAAAUGAGAUUUGCACGUCUGUUAGUCUUCGACUUCCCUAACUUCAAGACCUCUUUUCGUGUAGUUUUUCGCUUAUAAUAGCAUGUCCAUUCGACAUAUUUCUUCUUGCUUAUAACGACUUGCAUUUAACUUGUUUUUGCAACGGAUCAGAUGACAGAUUCUAACGAGAGCCAAAGCCAUUCAAAUGCAAACGAGGGGUGGUUUCUUCGCUGCUGUAAAUUCGUAUGAGCGUUCUUGUAGCUUCGGAUGGCCACCGUUGGGACGCCCUUGUUUUUUGUGAUCAGUCUUGUCAGAUAUAAAAUAAAACGUAUCCAAACUCGUUUCUGUUGGAUUGUACACUUUGAUGCUGUUUUCUUCAGUACUCGCCAGACUUUGGCAAGCUUAUAUAUGAAAGGGUUUGAUUACAUACACAUUUGAACUGUAAAAUGUUUCAUCUGUUGAUACAACAUGGGGAAGGUGAAUAUAGUGAGAACAUUGAAUCCAAUCGAUUUUUCUUUUGUUUUAAUAUAACGAUAUUCUACAUUACGGAUUUUUCUGUAGACUCCGAUCAUGCCUUCCAAUAAAUGAGUUCCAAUCAAUUCAGAUGGAUUCUCAAAAUAAUGGUACCCAACAUUCAUAUUAUAACUCCAAUUAGUAAGGUCGUCCACCACAAAUUUCUUCUCCCAAUUGACAUGCACCAACUCUGAAUCCGCUAUGCGUACCAUAAUUUUUCUGUACUGAUCAAUGAUGUUGGCAAAAGAAUGAAAGUUAGUAUUAGUUACACUCUUAAUUAAAUUAACCACUAUAGUCGAGUCCAUCUCCACACAAGGCUUAAAAUACUUCUGUUUACUACAAGUUGUAGACCAAAAUAAAGCCACCAAAUUUCGGCAUCAACCACCUAUUAUUUGCCCAAGUUGGGCGAAAAGCUUGAUAUCAAAUCCACUAUAAUCAUCUUAAUAUUCGUGUGAGUUGAACUUUAGACAUUCUCAAACAAAAUGAAGACCGUGUGCUGCUAGACCAACUUAACAUGUGUACCUAAAAUAAAUUGUUAAUAACUACGAUUUCACUUAUCUUACCGAUUUUUUUUUCUUUCCUAUAAAUUUAAUGAGUUACGUUUACACAUCUGUCAACUUACUAUUUAAACGUAUUUUCAUUUCUGAACCCAAUCCAAUAUGAAAACAUUCGAGAGAAUGGUAACAAGAAAUCCACAAUUAAUCAAAUCAAAAUCGCAUACCUAAUCUUCUAAUUAAAUGGCAAAAAUCCUUGCUUCUAAAAAGACAAAAUGACAAAACAUUCCUUACCAUAAUUGUCAUAAUUCCAUUGAAAAUAAAAAGUUCUUUCGUCAUUUUAGGAAUUGUCAUCCUAUCCACCACCCAAUAUGCAACCGAAAAGGCAAGGAAACAUUUUUUCUUGUGCCUAAAACUGAGUUUGGUAUAUUAAGUGUUGUAAUACAAGUGUUAGAUACAUAUAAAAAAUAUCAAUAAUUCGUAUCAUGACAUUUAUGUAACAGACCGUGUACUCGGGACUAAAAGUUUUCUUAAAGCCAAGAGACAAAUCUCAAGCACAGUUGUCCAGAAUCCACUUUCCUCUAACAACAUGCCACAUGUCGAUCUCCCAGACAUUGUUAUAAAAAUCCAAAUCACCGCGCGAUCAUUCAUAUACAGAGUUACCAAGCCGAUUGUCCAAAGCCCAAAAUUGAAACGGCCAUCCAAAAAAAAAUCCAAAUAAUUAAAUUUGGUAUAUAAAAAAAAUUGUUCAGAGCCCAAAAUAUGAACUAGAGAGCAAGAGCCCAAGUUUGACAAUAGAUGGAACGACCCAGGUUUUGGGCAUUAAAAAUAAAAAACAUAAGUCCCCAAUUAACCCUAAGUUCCUAACAUUUGAUCCUUUUCCUAGAGAUCUUAGGGAUCUCGUAAUUUUAUCCGUUCAUCGUAUAUCGUGCGGUUAAAAUUCAUUUCAAAUUUAAAGUUUAAAAUUAAUAUAAAUAGUCUCUAAUAAAAACUAAUUGUAUGUUGUAGGCAUAAUUUACUGAACAAUUAUGGAGGCCAUAAAGAGAGAGGUGCGGCAAUAGUAGGAAAGAGAGAGAUGUAUAAUUGUGGGCAUGUUCUAUUCCACCUCAUUGUGCCUUUAUUUAUAGUAGUAGGAUAGGUAAAAACCUUUCCCUUUAGUAUUACAACAUUUAAUAGGUAAUCUACUCCUAAUAGGAAUAUAAGAUACAUUCCCAUAUCUACUAGGAUUUACACAAUCACAUUCCUAUUCCAAUAUGACUGCAACACUCCCCAUUGAGUAUGUAAAUACUCAAGUAAAUGGCGCAUCAAGUCUUCAAUAAUGAAGCAAGUAUAGUUGAUGAAGUUGUCAGCACAAUGAGCAAAUGAGAGUCUCUUAUCAACGGAAGAAUGCAUAAAAAGUAAAACUCACAAAACCUCGCUAUGGUAAAACCCAAGGUUCUAAAAGUCGCUAGGCGCUAGUCGGGCGGCAGGCUGGGGCCUAGCGCCUAGGCGGCUAGGCGGGGCCUAGGCGGACUAGGCGGAUUUAAGUAAAUCUAUCAUAUUUCAGGUAAAUAAGUGUAUGCUUCUACUUGAAAUAUAUAUAAUUUCAUCAUAAACUACAAAAUAGAAUGCAUAUAUAUCAUGAAGUAUUGGAACAUAAUGAAAACAUGUGAAAUAAGGAUAUCAUGUUUAUUCAUUCAAGUAUGCAACAAGUCUCUUACAAUUUAUUGGAAAAAAACAAAAUGCAAAAUGAAAGUUAUGUAUUUUCUGUCUAAGUGAGUUGCAACCUAGGCGGGUCUAGACGGGUGCCUAGGUGGUCUAGGCGGUGGGCUGGGGCCUA